rnacentral:rRNA from 1 species
UACGUAGGGUGCAAGCGUUGUCCGGAAUUAUUGGGCGUAAAGAGCUCGUAGGCGGUUUGUCGCGUCUGCUGUGAAAACGCGAGGCUCAACCUCGCGCCUGCAGUGGGUACGGGCAGACUAGAGUGAUGUAGGGGAGAUUGGAAUUCCUGGUGUAGCGGUGGAAUGCGCAGAUAUCAGGAGGAACACCGAUGGCGAAGGCAGAUCUCUGGGCCGUAACUGACGCUGAGGAGCGAAAGCAUGGGGGAGCGAACAGG